CCCCUGGUCGUCUAGUUGGUUUAAGGCGCUCGGCUGUAAUUGUUAACUCAUGAAACCGAGAAAUCGCUGGUUCGACUCCAGCCCAGGGGA
rfam:Trichophyton interdigitale MR816 cont1.79, whole genome shotgun sequence.